GCUAGCGGCAGGCCUAACACAUGCAAGUCGAACGGUAACAUAAGAGCUUGCUCCUGAUGACGAGUGGCGCACGGGUGAGUAACGCGUAUGCAAUCUACCUAUAACUGAGGAAUAGCCCAGAGAAAUUUGGAUUAAUACCUCAUAAUAUUAUUAUUUGGCAUCAUUUAAUAAUUAAAACUCCGGUGGUUAUAGACGAGCAUGCGUUCUAUUAGCUAGUUGGUGAGGUAAGGGCUCACCAAGGCUACGAUAGAUAGGGGGCCUGAAAGGGUGAUCCCCCACACUGGUACUGAGACACGGACCAGACUCCUACGGGAGGCAGCAGUGAGGAAUAUUGCACAAUGGAGGAAACUCUGAUGCAGCCAUGCCGCGUGCAGGAUGAAGGCCCUAUGGGUUGUAAACUGCUUUUUUACAAGAAGAAACCUUGGUACGUGUACCAACUUGACGGUAUUGUAAGAAUAAGCACCGGCUAACUCCGUGCCAGCAGCCGCGGUAAUACGGAGGGUGCAAGCGUUAUCCGGAUUUAUUAGGUUUAAAGGGUUCGCAGGCGGAAUUUUAAGUCAGUGGUGAAAGCCUACAGCUCAACUGUAGAACUGCCAUUGAAACUGAUAUUCUUGAGUAUAGAUGAAGUGGGCGGAAUAUGUCAUGUAGCGGUGAAAUGCAUAGAUAUGACAUGGAACACCAAUUGCGAAGGCAGCUCACUAAACUAUUACUGACGCUCAUGAACGAAAGCGUGGGGAGCAAACAGGAUUAGAUACCCUGGUAGUCCACGCCGUAAACUAUGAUCACUAGAUGUUGGCGAUAUGUUGUCAGUGUUUUAGAGAAAUCGUUAAGUGAUCCACCUGGGGAGUACGUUCGCAAGAAUGAAACUCAAAGGAAUUGACGGGGGCCCGCACAAGCGGAGGAGCAUGUGGUUUAAUUCGAUGAUACGCGAGGAACCUUACCAAGACUUAAAUGUAUUUUGACAGGUUGAGAAAUCAACUUUUCUUCGGACAAUUUACAAGGUGCUGCAUGGUUGUCGUCAACUCGUGCCGUGAGGUGUCGGGUUAAGUCCCAUAACGAGCGCAACCCCUAUUUUUAGUUACCAGCGAGUCAUGUCGGGAACUCUAGAAAGACUGCCUGUGUAAACAGUGAGGAAGGUGGGGAUGACGUCAAAUCAUCACGGCCCUUAUGUCUUGGGCUACACACGUGCUACAAUGGUCACUACAGUGGGCUGCCAUCUGGCAACAGAGAGCAAAUCCAUAAAGGUGAUCCCAGUUCGGAUCGGGGUCUGCAACUCGACUCUGCGAAGUUGGAUUCGCUAGUAAUCGUAUAUCAGCAAUGAUACGGUGAAUACGUUCCCGGGCCUUGUACACACCGCCCGUCAAGCCAUGGAAGUUUGUGGUGCCUGAAGUCAGUAACCGUAAGGAUCUGCCUAGGGUAAAACAGAUAACUAGGGC
rnacentral:rRNA from 1 species